rnacentral:rRNA from 1 species
CCUACGGGUGGCAGCAGUGGGGAAUAUUGGGCAAUGGGCGCAAGCCUGACCCAGCAACGCCGCGUGAAGGAAGAAGGCUUUCGGGUUGUAAACUUCUUUUCUCAGGGACGAAGAAAGUGACGGUACCUGAGGAAUAAGCCACGGCUAACUACGUGCCAGCAGCCGGGGUAAUACGUGGGGGGCAAGGUUUAUCCGGAUUUACUGGGUGAAAAGGGCGUGUAGGGGGGGGAGCAAGUCAGAUGUGAAAACCACGGGCUCAACCUGUGGCCUGCAUUUGAAACUGUUUUUCUUGAGUACUGGAGAGGCAGACGGAAUUCCUGGUGUAGCGGUGAAAUGCGUAGAUAUUAGGAGGAACACCAGUGGCGAGGGCGGUCUGCUGGACAGCAACUGACGCUGAGGCGCGAAAGCGUGGGGAGCAAACAGGAUUAGAUACCCAGUAGUC